rnacentral:tRNA from 1 species
GGGGAGGUGGCUGAGUGGCCGAAAGCACCCGCCUGCUAAGCGGGUAGGGGGUGUAAA